AAAAUCACACAAUUCCUUCUACUCUUUACAUUACAACUAAAACAAAAUGGAGUCAAAGUUUGCUCACAUUAUUGUUUUCUUUCUUCUUGCAACUUCCUUUGAAACUCUCAUGGCACGAAAAGAAAUUGAUAGACCAGAAGUCACAGAACUUCUAAAGGAAUUUGAAUCCGACUUGAUGUGCAAAGGAAAACAAAGGUGGCCAGAACUUAUUGGUGUACCAGCAUAAUAUGCUAAGGGAAUAAUUGAGAAGGAAAAUCCAUUCAUAACUGAUGUUCAAAUAAUAUUGAAUGGUUCUCCAGUCACAAUGGAUUUUAGGUGUUUUCGAGUUCGUAUUGCUGUAAACAUCUUGGAUGUUGCUGUAUCAAUGCCUGUGGUUGGUUAAUUAAUGGAUUAUUAUUGAAGUAAUUAAGCAGCCACAUGUCAAAAAAUAAUUAAAGUUCAUGUAUGUUCAUUAUAAUGUCUCCAUGUACUCUUACUAUACAUAAUGGAAUAAAUAAGCGUGGCUUAAUUAUAUCCUUUUACAUAUUUUGCAA